rnacentral:rRNA from 1 species
AAUAUUGCGCAAUGGAGGGAACUCUGACGCAGCGACGCCGCGUGAGCGAUGAAGGUCUUCGGAUCGUAAAGCUCUGUCCUUGGGGAAGAAGGUCUUCGGACUUGACGGUACCUAAGGAGGAAGCCCCGGCUAACUACGUGCCAGCAGCCGCGGUAAUACGUAGGGGGCAAGCGUUGUCCGGAAUUAUUGGGCGUAAAGGGUGCGUAGGCGGCCUUUUAAGUCAGAUGUGAAAGCCCACGGCUCAACCGCGAGCGGUCAUUGGAAACUGGGAGACUUGAGUAUAGGAGAGGAAAGUGGAAUUCCACGUGUAGCGGUGAAAUGCGUAGAGAUGCGGAGGAAUACCGAUGGCGAAGGCAGCCCCCUGGGAUAAUACUGACGCUCAUGCACGAAAGCGUGGGGAGCAAAC